rnacentral:rRNA from 1 species
GGGAGCUUGCUCCCUUAGGUCAGCGGCGGACGGGUGAGUAACACGUGGGUAACCUGCCUGUAAGACUGGGAUAACUCCGGGAAACCGGGGCUAAUACCGGAUGCUUGAUUGAACCGCAUGGUUCAAUCAUAAAAGGUGGCUUUUAGCUACCACUUACAGAUGGACCCGCGGCGCAUUAGCUAGUUGGUGAGGUAACGGCUCACCAAGGCGACGAUGCGUAGCCGACCUGAGAGGGUGAUCGGCCACACUGGGACUGAGACACGGCCCAGACUCCUACGGGAGGCAGCAGUAGGGAAUCUUCCGCAAUGGACGAAAGUCUGACGGAGCAACGCCGCGUGAGUGAUGAAGGUUUUCGGAUCGUAAAACUCUGUUGUUAGGGAAGAACAAGUACCGUUCGAAUAGGGCGGCACCUUGACGGUACCUAACCAGAAAGCCACGGCUAACUACGUGCCAGCAGCCGCGGUAAUACGUAGGUGGCAAGCGUUGUCCGGAAUUAUUGGGCGUAAAGCGCGCGCAGGCGGUUUCUUAAGUCUGAUGUGAAAGCCCCCGGCUCAACCGGGGAGGGUCAUUGGAAACUGGGGAACUUGAGUGCAGAAGAGGAGAGUGGAAUUCCACGUGUAGCGGUGAAAUGCGUAGAGAUGUGGAGGAACACCAGUGGCGAAGGCGACUCUCUGGUCUGUAACUGACGCUGAGGCGCGAAAGCGUGGGGAGCGAACAGGAUUAGAUACCCUGGUAGUCCACGCCGUAAACGAUGAGUGCUAAGUGUUAGAGGGUUUCCGCCCUUUAGUGCUGCAGCAAACGCAUUAA